UGGGGAAUUUUGGACAAUGGGCGAAAGCCUGAUCCAGCAAUGCCGCGUGUGUGAAGAAGGCCUUCGGGUUGUAAAGCACUUUUGUCCGGAAAGAAAUCCUUGGCUCUAAUACAGUCGGGGGAUGACGGUACCGGAAGAAUAAGCACCGGCUAACUACGUGCCAGCAGCCGCGGUAAUACGUAGGGUGCAAGCGUUAAUCGGAAUUACUGGGCGUAAAGCGUGCGCAGGCGGUUUGCUAAGACCGAUGUGAAAUCCCGGGCUCAACCUGGGAACUGCAUUGGUGACUGGCAGGCUAGAGUAUGGCAGAGGGGGGUAGAAUUCCACGUNUAGCAGUGAAAUGCGUAGAGAUGUGGAGGAAUACCGAUGGCGAAGGCAGCCCCCUGGGCCAAUACUGACGCUCAUGCACGAAAGCGUGGGGAGCAAACAGGAUUAGAUACCCUGGUAGUCCACGCCCUAAACGAUGUCAACUAGUUGUUGGGGAUUCAUUUCCUUAGUAACGUAGCUAACGCGUGAAGUUGACCGCCUGGGGAGUACGGUCGCAAGAUUAAAACUCAAAGGAAUUGACGGGGUCAUAGCUGUUUCCU
rnacentral:rRNA from 1 species